rnacentral:rRNA from 1 species
AGGGUUUGAUCAUGGCUCAGAACGAACGCUGGCGGCAGGCCUAACACAUGCAAGUCGAGCGCGCCUUUCGGGGUGAGCGGCGGACGGGUUAGUAACGCGUGGGAAUAUACCCUUUGGUACGGAAUAGCCUCUGGAAACGGAGAGUAAUACCGUAUGAGCCCUUCGGGGGAAAGAUUUAUCGCCAAAGGAUUAGCCCGCGUUAGAUUAGGUAGUUGGUGGGGUAAUGGCCUACCAAGCCUACGAUCUAUAGCUGGUUUUAGAGGAUGAUCAGCAACACUGGGACUGAGACACGGCCCAGACUCCUACGGGAGGCAGCAGUGGGGAAUCUUGGACAAUGGGGGCAACCCUGAUCCAGCCAUGCCGCGUGAGUGAUGAAGGCCUUAGGGUCGUAAAGCUCUUUCGCCUGUGAAGAUAAUGACGGUAGCAGGUAAAGAAACCCCGGCUAACUCCGUGCCAGCAGCCGCGGUAAUACGGAGGGGGUUAGCGUUGUUCGGAAUUACUGGGCGUAAAGCGCACGUAGGCGGACUGGAAAGUUGGGGGUGAAAUCCCAGGGCUCAACCCUGGAACUGCCUCCAAAACUAUCAGUCUAGAGUUCGAGAGAGGUGAGUGGAAUUCCAAGUGUAGAGGUGAAAUUCGUAGAUAUUUGGAGGAACACCAGUGGCGAAGGCGGCUCACUGGCUCGAUACUGACGCUGAGGUGCGAAAGUGUGGGGAGC